rnacentral:lncRNA from 1 species
CCUACAACUUGAAAUAUAACUAAAAGGUAAUUAUGGCUUUGCCAUGUGCUUCCCUUCAAGUUUCUCAAAUACUUUAAAUGACUGAUCACAAAGCUGAGCUCCUGCCCACAAAGGAAAAAAGACAUAUGCAAGUGAAUCAAGCUGAGCUCCUGCCCGUGCAGUCGAACCCCUGGAUGCUUGCGUUAAUGGAGCAGAAGCUGUGCGCUCACCUGAAGGCUGCUGGAGGGGCUCGAUGGGAAUGGCAGCUUCUAGAACCAGAGCGCGGCAGGUCCAAAACUCAAGGGGCCAACACGGGCGACGUCGCUGACACCAGCACCUUGCCCCGAGUUGUGGUCACGGUCUCCGGCGCCGGCACGAACAUCGGCAUCUCACCCUCAUUGCAUUCACUGUCGUCGGUGCGAUGCCCCGCCCUUGGCUGC